CCCUUAGAUGUUCUGGGCCGCACGCGCGCUACACUGAUACGUUCAGCGAGUAUAUAACCUUGAUUGGAAAAUCUGGGUAAUCUUUUGAAUGCGUAUCGUGCUAGGGAUAGAUUAUUGCAAUUAUUAAUCUUGAACGAGGAAUUCCUAGUAAACGCAAGUCAUCAGCUUGCACUGAUUACGUCCCUGCCCUUUGUACACACCGCCUGUCGCACAAACCGAUUGAAUGAUUCGGUGAAAAUUUUGGACAUCGAGAGUGGUGAUUAAUUUCGCUGCUCUUAAAUGGAAAGAAUUUAAACCUAAUUAUUUAGAGGAUUGUGAAGUCAUAACA
rnacentral:rRNA from 1 species